UACAUUUUAGUAUAUGAUGUAUAAAGGUUUUUGAUACCUUAGGAAAUUGUUUAAUUCAAUAAAUGUAG
rnacentral:tRNA from 1 species